rnacentral:rRNA from 1 species
ACAGCAGCAGCCGCGGUAAUACAGAGGGUGCGAGCGUUAAUCGGAUUUACUGGGCGUAAAGCGUGCGUAGGCGGCUUCUUAAGUCGGAUGUGAAAUCCCUGAGCUUAACUUAGGAAUUGCAUUCGAUACUGGGAAGCUAGAGUAUGGGAGAGGAUGGUAGAAUUUCAGGUGUAGCGGUGAAAUGCGUAGAGAUCUGGAGGAAUACCGAUGGCGAAGGCAGCCAUCUGGCCUAAUACUGACGCUGAGGUACGAAAGCAUGGGGAGCAAACAGGAUUAGAUACCCCCGUAGUCCCUGUCUCUUAUAC